rnacentral:rRNA from 1 species
UGGGGAAUCAUGGUCAAUGGGCGAAAGCCUGAACCUGCGACGCCGCGUGAGUGAUGAAGGUCGUAAGAUCGUAAAACUCUUUUCAGGGAUCUUAACGCACAGCUGUCAACAACAGCUGUGUCUGACUCUCCCUGGAAGAAGCCCCAGCCAACUACGUGCCAGCAGCUGCGGUAAUACGUAGGGGGCGAGCGUUAUUCGGAAUUACUGGGUGUAAAGGGUAUGUAGGCGGCCCUUCAAGUCGCGUGUCAAAGUCCAGUGCUCAACGCUGGGUGUGCGCGCGAUACUGACGGGCUUGAGGGCUGGAGAGGUGAGCGGAAUUCCCGGUGUAGUGGUAAAAUACGUAGAUAUUCGGAGGAACACCAGUGGCGAAAGCGGCCUCCUGGCUCAUAUCUGACGCUCAGACGCGAAAGCUAGGGUAGCAAACG